rnacentral:tRNA from 1 species
GCCUGGGUGGCUCAGUCUGUUAAGCAUCUGACUUUGACUCAGGUCAUGAUUUCAAGGUUCGUGAGUUCAAGCCCCGCAUCAGGCU